ensembl:lncRNA
GCAUGAAUAUUGAUGGAGACAGGAAGGGAGGAGAGAGAAGGAGAACUCCAUUUAGGGUGACCAGACAGCAAGUGUGAAAAAUCGGGACGGGGGUGAGGGGUAAUAGGAGCCUAUAUAAGAAAAAGACCCAAAAAAUCGGGACUGUCCCUAUAAAGUGAGGACAUCUGGUCACCCUAACUCCAUUGCCCUUUCCCCCUGGUGUCAGCUGGAACAGGGGCAGAAGAUCCCACAACUAGGGGACAAAUACCCAUGGAAGAAUAGGAAUUUGUUUAGGCGCUCUGUCCUUAGAGUUGUCACAGCUCCAGUUCUAGGACAGCAGCAGCCCAAUGCUGCUGAAGAUCAAGGAAACCGGAAGGCGGAUACAGACUAACACGGCUACCACCCUAAAACCUGUAUGCUGUUCCUGUGAUUUUCAGGGAGAGGGAGGAAUCAGAAUGGAGGCUCCUGGCUGCUCCCUAAAGAAGCCAGAAUAAAGGUGGGGGCAGCUGGAUUGUCCCAGGAAGGUGAUUAAAGUAAGGGAGGAAUGUUUUUGUGGGAGGUAUCUCCUUUGAGGGAAGAGUUCCAGUCCCAUUGUGGGGAGAAGUGGUUUUUCAGUUCAGUUUCAGAGGAUGAGACCUGAUUGACAAAUAUUACCUGUAUACACAUAAUCUGCUAUUCACCCAGCCCCACUGCUCAUUGCCCCAGGAGUGAGCAGCUCCUCCUGCCUGUAUUAUACCUCUGCCCUUGAGAGAGGCAGACAAUAGGUCACAAUUUCAAGCUGGCAAGUAUUUUCCCCCCUUGUUUACAUUCCUGAGCAUAACUGCAGGCUCCUGCUUCAGACAAGUUCUGUCUACUUUAUCUAAGGAUAACUCACUAAGGAUACAUUGUUAUCAUGCCUUGACUGGCAGUCAAAACAAUGACUAUUUCAACCAUCUCCAAUCAAAGAGCCAUAAAGAGAAGGGAGGGUGGGCAUCCUUCCAGUGAACUCUCCUUUGGGAAUGUUCCGUUCCCAUUGCAUCAGUCUGGGGCAUCAUUAACUAAAAAUGUGCAAAGAUCUGGAUAUUUGGUUUGUAUUCUUACACACCACUCUUUUAGAAAUCGCCUAAACCCCAUGAAAAUAACAAGGCAAGAGAAUAAAGAUGCUCACUACAUGGGGUUCUAAUAAAUAUUCAGCUAACACUCAGGUGUGGGCAAAUGUCAGUNNNNNNNNNNGUAAGUAGUAGUGUGUGUGUGUGUGUGUGUGUGUGUGUGUGUGUGUGUGUGUGUGAGUGAGAGAGAGAGAGAGAGAGAGAGACAGAGAGAGAUUUGGCAAUGAAGAAGGAUGCAAAAAAGAUGGAGGGUGAAAGUGAAAAAUAAGGACAAAGGGGUGAAUAGAAGAUAGAAAAAUAGUUUGUAAGAACUAAGGCUGAAAUCCUAGCUCUGUUGAUGUCGAUAGGAGUUUUGCUUUUGACUUCAGUAGGGCCAGGCAUUCACCCCAGAAGUAUUAGAGUUAAUACUCCUCCUGGUGUAGGAGGAUCUAGCAGAAAAAAAGAUCUGAGGUAAAAACCGUGAAGAGUGACUUAAUGUGUAAAGUAAUCUGAGGAAAAGUUGAACAUUUUCCAGAGUUCUUUUGCAGCAAGACUUUGAGGGAUAAAAAGAGCAGAAGUGAACCAGAGCAAUGGAGUGUUAUCCCAGGAGUUUAAGCCUAAGUGUCAGUAG